GACGGAGGAUGCAAGCGUUAUCCGGAAUGAUUGGGCGUAAAUCGUCCGCAGGUGGCAGUUCAAGUCUGCUGUCAAAGACCGGGGCUUAACUUCGGAAAGGCAGUGGAAACUGAACAGCUAGAGUAUGGUAGGGGCAGAGGGAAUUCCUGGUGUAGCGGUGAAAUGCGUAGAGAUCAGGAAGAACAUCGGUGGCGAAGGCGCUCUGCUGGACCAUAACUGACACUCAGGGACGAAAGCUAGGGGAGCGAAUGGG
rnacentral:rRNA from 1 species